rnacentral:tRNA from 1 species
GUCAAGUAAGAUGGUCUAUUGAAGAUUGAUUUGGGCGUAAUAUUCC